rnacentral:rRNA from 1 species
ACGAACGCUGGCGGCGUGCUUAACACAUGCAAGUCGAACGGAAAGGCCCUUCGGGGUACUCGAGUGGCGAACGGGUGAGUAACACGUGGGCAACCUGCCCCUAGCUCUGGGAUAACUCCGGGAAACCGGUGCUAAUACCGGAUAUACACUUUUUGAGGCAUCUCUCGAAGUGGAAAGUUUUUCGGCUAGGGAUGGGCCCGCGGCCUACCAGCUUGUUGGUGGGGUAAUGGCCUACCAAGGCGACGACGGGUAGCCGGCCUGGGAGGGCGACCGGCCACACUGGGACUGAGACACGGCCCAGACUCCUACGGGAGGCAGCAGUGGGGAAUAUUGCGCAAUGGGCGAAAGCCUGACGCAGCGACGCCGCGUGAGGGAUGACGGCCUUCGGGUUGUAAACCUCUUUCAGCUCUGACGAAGCGCAAGUGACGGUAGGAGCAGAAGAAGCACCGGCCAACUACGU